rnacentral:rRNA from 1 species
AGGGUUUGAUCAUGGCUCAGGAUGAACGCUAGCGGCAGGCCUAACACAUGCAAGUCGAGGGGUAACAGGGGAGCUUGCUCUCGCUGACGACCGGCGCACGGGUGCGUAACGCGUAUACAAUCUACCUUUUGCUGAGGGAUAGCCCAGAGAAAUUUGGAUUAACACCUCAUAGUAUGUAUUAAUGGCAUCAUUAAUAUAUUAAAGGUUACGGCAAAAGAUGAGUAUGCGUUCUAUUAGCUAGAUGGUGUGGUAACGGCACACCAUGGCAACGAUAGAUAGGGGCCCUGAGAGGGGGAUCCCCCACACUGGUACUGAGACACGGACCAGACUCCUACGGGAGGCAGCAGUGAGGAAUAUUGGGCAAUGGAGGCAACUCUGACCCAGCCAUGCCGCGUGCAGGAAGACUGCCCUAUGGGUUGUAAACUGCUUUUAUACAGGAAGAAACACUCCCUCGUGAGGGAGCUUGACGGUACUGUAAGAAUAAGGAUCGGCUAACUCCGUGCCAGCAGCCGCGGUAAUACGGAGGAUCCAAGCGUUAUCCGGAAUCAUUGGGUUUAAAGGGUCCGUAGGUGGAUAAUUAAGUCAGAGGUGAAAUCCUGCAGCUCAACUGUAGAAUUGCCUUUGAUACUGGUUAUCUUGAGUUAUUAUGAAGUAGUUAGAAUAUGUAGUGUAGCGGUGAAAUGCAUAGAUAUUACAUAGAAUACCAAUUGCGAAGGCAGAUUACUAAUAAUAUACUGACACUGAUGGACGAAAGCGUGGGGAGCGAACAGGAUUAGAUACCCUGGUAGUCCACGCCGUAAACGAUGGUCACUAGCUGUUUGGACUUCGGUCUGAGUGGCUAAGCGAAAGUGAUAAGUGACCCACCUGGGGAGUACGUUCGCAAGAAUGAAACUCAAAGGAAUUGACGGGGGCCCGCACAAGCGGUGGAGCAU